rnacentral:rRNA from 1 species
UCAUUCGAUGAAUACCGUUGCAAAAUGCGAUAAGUGGUGUGACAUGCAAGUCCAAAACUUAUACGUGAAUCAUCGAAUUGUUGAACGCACUGCAUCGAGCCUUACCCAGGAACGAUACGCCCCAUUGAGCGUCAUUAUGUCUUCGCGACUUGUCAUUUUCUUGGCAUGUCCGGGUUCGGGAUUCACGACCGAUAAGGUUGCGCUUCCUUAGAAACAUUAGUGCACCGGCUUUGAUGGUGACCUUGUCAUGAAUGUCGAGGUGUGCCAGUAAGAGCUGUGUGUAAGAUCUGCACCUAGCGUGCAGAUCAAGUGCAUCCGUCAUGGACGCAACUUCUCUACAUGACCUCACGGGGGUGGGACGACCCGCUAGACUUAAGCAUAUUAAUCAGCGGAGGAAAAGAAACUAACAAGGAUUCCCCUAGUAACUGCGAGUGAAGAGGGAUUAGCUCAAUGUGUGAAUCGGGCCAGGAUUAGCACUUGGCUCGAGUUGUGCACUAUAGACGGCGGAUCAGCGCUUGAAAGAUCGAGUCGGAUGUCCGAUGAAACUCGGUGCCAUUGAGGGUCAUAGUCCUGUACUUGGCUCGUCAUCUUUUGCGCAUUUGACCGACGUUCUGCGAGUCGCGUAGUUUUGUAUUGCUGCGCUAAUCGGGAGGUAGAGCCCUUCUAAAGCUAAAUAUGAUGACGUGACCGAUAGCACACAAGUACCGCGAGGGAAAGGUGAAAAGCAACCAUGCAGAAUGGGUUGAAACAGAAGUGAAAGCGCUACUGGGAUAAGGGCUGGGGAUUGCUUGUGUCGCUUGCGCGUGCUUCAGUGCUGUGCUUGUGAACGGCAUGCUUCAAUUGGGAUGGGGAGAACAGGGCCUUGGGAAUUCGGCUGGAUCCGUCCAGUGUUGUAGCCCAGGUGCCAAUGGAGCCCCUUCGGAUUGUUGAGUGUCUUGCGAUUGUCAGCCGCCCGUCUUGAAACACGGACC